UCUAAUGGACCAGACCAUUUGUCCCGAGCAUCUACAUCGACCUCUGUGUUAUCUUGGGCAGUUCGACGCCCCGACUGCCCACGUCCACGGCCACGGACGCGGUUGCUUCCUUCGCCCGCCCCCUACCUGGGCCCCUAAACCAUGAGGCGCGGAGGUUUUUGAAGACCAGGGCCUGGGGGCAUGAAUGCAGUCACCGUGCUCUUUAAACUGGUGAUCAAGAUGCCCACAUAUCGCGCACCUAUUGAGAAGUCGUUCAUAUCUGACUAGGAACCAUUAUUUUUCCCUAGCUUUAACCACCGAGACUGCAUUCUUGAGGGGCUUCUGGACAUUAGUUUCACCCUCACACGAUAGAAAUUGCCUUCAAAAUCAAGUGAUCGCGGUUCAGCAUAGAUGAACUCGCCUACCUUAACAGCAAGCGAUUUAAUCAUGGGGUAGUAGCCGUCGGGUAGAUCGUGGAUUUGGAUCCAGAUGGCCAUCAUGUCCAGAUUGAUCUUAGAUGGCUUAGUGAAACCAUCAUACUCGGUGAGCACCACCGCGCUUCCCUUGAAAGUCCAAGGGCCUUCAUCCAUGACGC
rnacentral:lncRNA from 1 species